rnacentral:rRNA from 1 species
UGAACGCUGGCGGCGUGCCUAAUACAUGCAAGUCGAGCGAACAGACGAGGAGCUUGCUCCUCUGACGUUAGCGGCGGACGGGUGAGUAACACGUGGAUAACCUACCUAUAAGACUGGGAUAACUUCGGGAAACCGGAGCUAAUACCGGAUAAUAUAUUGAACCGCAUGGUUCAAUAGUGAAAGACGGUUUUGCUGUCACUUAUAGAUGGAUCCGCGCCGCAUUAGCUAGUUGGUAAGGUAACGGCUUACCAAGGCAACGAUGCGUAGCCGACCUGAGAGGGUGAUCGGCCACACUGGAACUGAGACACGGUCCAGACUCCUACGGGAGGCAGCAGUAGGGAAUCUUCCGCAAUGGGCGAAAGCUUGACGGAGCAAUGCCGCGUGAGUGAUGAAGGUCUUCGGAUCGUAAAACUCUGUUAUUAGGGAAGAACAAAUGUGUAAGUAACUAUGCACGUCUUGACGGUACCUAAUCAGAAAGCCACGGCUAACUACGUG